GGGAUAUUGCACAAUGGGGGGAACCCUGAUGCAGCGACGCCGCGUGGGUGAAGGAGUAUUUCGGUAUGUAAAGUCCUAUCGGCAGGGAAGAAACCAGACGGUACCUGACUAAGAAGCCCCGGCUAACUACGUGCCAGCAGCCGCGGUAAUACGUAGGGGGCAAGCGUUAUCCGGAUUCACUGGGUGUAAAGGGAGCGUAGACGGCCAGGCAAGCCUGGAGUGAAAGCCCGGGGCCCAACCCCGGGACUGCUCUGGGAACUGUCCGGCUGGAGUGCGGGAGGGGCAGGCGGAAUUCCUGGUGUAGCGGUGAAAUGCGUAGAUAUCAGGAGGAACACCGGCGGCGAAGGCGGCCUGCUGGACCGCGACUGACGUUGAGGCUCGAAAGCGUGGGGAGCGAACAG
rnacentral:rRNA from 1 species